rnacentral:rRNA from 1 species
GACGAACGCUGGCGGCGUGCCUAAUACAUGCAAGUAGAACGCUGAAGGAGGAGCUUGCUUCUCUGGAUGAGUUGCGAACGGGUGAGUAACGCGUAGGUAACCUGCCUGGUAGCGGGGGAUAACUAUUGGAAACGAUAGCUAAUACCGCAUAAGAGUAGAUGUUGCAUGACAUUUGCUUAAAAGGUGCAAUUGCAUCACUACCAGAUGGACCUGCGUUGUAUUAGCUAGUUGGUGGGAUAACGGCUUACCAAGGCGACGAUACAUAGCCGACCUGAGAGGGUGAUCGGCCACACUGGGACGGAGACACGGCCCAGACUCCUACGGGAGGCAGCAGUAGGGAAUCUUCGGCAAUGGACGGAAGUCUGACCGAGCAACGCCGCGUGAGUGAAGAAGGUUUUCGGAUCGUAAAGCUCUGUUGUAAGAGAAGAACGAGUGUGAGAGUGGAAAGUUCACACUGUGACGGUAUCUUACCAGAAAGGGACGGCUAACUACGUG